rnacentral:lncRNA from 1 species
UUCGAAGUGUUGCCAAACAGUAGACCUAGGAUCCAUUUCUUUUCUUUUUUUUGUUUCCUCUGUGCCAAUUGAGGCAUCAUUGCUAGUAGUAGGUGUAUUAUCCGUAGAAUCAGCCAUACUUAUUCGACUUUGAUUAGCCACACCCACAUUUGAUUGAUUUUGUUCAGCCAUCUAUAUAAUAAAAAAAACAUUUCACAAUGAAUUCACACUUAGAAUAUUAAGGAGCAAAUAAGGAAAAGAAAAUGAUAAUUGGAUGCAUUUUUUCAUUGUGGUUUCUUUUUCUUUAUUACUUUUGCUCUUCUUUUUUUUGUCUAAGAUUUGACCCUUUGCUAGAAAAUAGAAAUUAGAAAAUACAAUAUUACAAUUAUACAAAUGAGCAAAUCAAAAUAAAAAAAUAAAGUUUAAAUAUAAAAAUUAAAAAUAUACAAAUCUGAAAUCUUUAUUAGUUUAUUUUAAUGGAUAGAUCAAAUCCCAAAUGCACUAAAAUAUUCUCAAGUAAUUGACUAAAUGCAAGUUAAAAACUUAAAAUUAUUUUUAUAUAUUCAUAAGAAAAACAUACCUGAAAGCUGAUGGUUGUCGCCUGCCGGUCGCCGGCGGCUGCUGUGCGUGGUGCUGCGGCUGCCUGAGCCCUACUGGUCGACUGGGGCUGGUGGCUGGCGGUUGCUACUGCUGUGUGUGCUGCUGGUCGACGGGACUGGCGGCUGCUGCUGCUGGUCGACGGAACUGGCGGUUGCUGACUUGCUGGUUGUCGCCUGCUGCUGGUCGCCGGCUGUUGCUGGUUGUGCAGCUGCUGGCUGCUGCUAAAGCUUAGAAAAUAGAAAGUUAGAAUUUAGUAAAGUAAAAAAAUUGAAAAGACCAAAAGGUUUAAAGAGUUUUGACUUUUGACCUAAUUUAAUUAAAAAUAUAAUAUUUAUUAUAUAAUAUAAUAUAUUUCGGUAAACCGAAAUACCGAAAUACACAAAAGUUACAUACCGAAAACCGAACCGAAAUACCGAAAAGUACAAAAACAUACACCGAA